UAGUGGCGCACGGGUGCGUAACGCGUGGGAAUCUGCCCUGGGGUGCGGAAUAACUCGGAGAAAUCCGUGCUAAUACCGCAUAAUGUCUUCGGACCAAAGAUUUAUUGCCCUGGGAUGAGCCCGCGUAGGAUUAGCUAGUUGGUGUGGUAAGAGCGCACCAAGGCGACGAUCCUUAGCUGGUCUGAGAGGAUGAUCAGCCACACUGGGACUGAGACACGGCCCAGACUCC
rnacentral:rRNA from 1 species